rnacentral:tmRNA from 1 species
CCGGAAGUGCCGGAGGGGCUUGCCCCUUGGCUAUGGCGAUAAACGGCGCGUGGAAUAAGUGUUGUGGACCCGGGGGCGGUACCCGGCGUCUCCACCAAUUUCCCCCACGACUUGGGGGACAUGGGGACGAAACAGGCUCGACACGCAUGGUAAAGACCCGCCUUUUGCCCGGCAUUGUACCACCGUUAUCGGGCUAAAUUACAAGUGCCAAUGAUAACUCUGAGGUGCUCGCUGUCGCUGCAUAAGCGAUAAGCGCGGUUCGGGAGGGCACCGGGCAACAGAAGCCCUCCCACCUUGUCUCCUGUUCAUGUUAGGUUGAUGGCGCGGUAUCCGCUU